CCCUUAGAUGUCCUGGGCCGCACGUGCGCUACACUGACACACGCAACAAGUCUGUUCCCUUGGUCGGAAGGCCUGGGUAAUCUUCUAAAGUGUGUCGUGAUAGGGAUAGAUUAUUGCAAUUAUUAAUCUUGAACGAGGAAUUCCUAGUAAACGCGAGUCAUCAGCUCGCAUUGAUUACGUCCCUGCCCUUUGUACACACCGCCCGUCGCACCUACCGAUUGGAUGGUUCGGUGAAAACUCCGGACUCGCACUAGAGGCCUUCGGGAACUCCUGAGCGGGGAAGUUGUUUAAACCUCAUCAUCUAGAGGAAGGUGAAGUCGUANCA
rnacentral:rRNA from 1 species